rnacentral:rRNA from 1 species
CAGCUUGUUGGUGAGGUAACGGCUCACCAAGGCUCCGAUCCGUAGCUGGUCUGAGAGGACGAUCAGCCACACUGGGACUGAGACACGGCCCAGACUCCUACGGGAGGCAGCAGUGGGGAAUCUUGCGCAAUGGGCGAAAGCCUGACGCAGCGACGCCGCGUGAGGGAAGAAGGCCUUCGGGUUGUAAACCUCUUUCAGGAGGGACGAAGCCACUCGGGUUAAUAGCCCAGAGGGUGACGGUACCUCCAGAAGAAGCCCCGGCUAACUACGUGCCAGCAGCCGCGGUAAUACGUAGGGGGCUAGCGUUGUCCGGAUUUAUUGGGCGUAAAGAGCGUGUAGGCGGCCAGGUAGGUCUGCUGUGAAAACUCGAGGCUCAACCUCGAGACGUCGGCGGAAACCAUCUGGCUAGAGUCCGGAAGAGGAGAGUGGAAUUCCUGGUGUAGCGGUGAAAUGCGCAGAUAUCACGAAGAACACCCGUGGCGAAGGCGGCUCUCUGGGACGGUACUGACGCUGAGACGCGAAAGCGUGGGGAGCGAA